UGUGUGUGUGUGUGUGUGUGUUGAGAUCCGUCAAUAUUAUGCUAUUAGAUGGCACACCAAACACCAAUCAUUGUUGAGAUCCGUCAAUAUGUGUUCUUAACCUUGAGCUACGGAGCACUUUUAUCCGUAUCAUGUUUUUCUUUGAAUCAAUGAAUCUAAUCUUCUUAAUCUCUUUUUAAUCGUUUGGGUAUCCGCAUCACUCCUUCCUCUUGGGGUGAACACCGGGGUGAAUGUUUUUUUUUUUUUUAUUGAAAGAUAAGUACAAUAAAAUAAAAAAUAAAUCACACUCAUAUUAACUUAAAUGUUUCUAGUAAAGAAAAUAAUGUAAGGGCUUUCUUUUCUUUAACAAGACUGAGGGACUUGAGAGUUUUAGCUCAUUCCUCCAGUGAGUCUUAAAAUAUCCGCAUUUGUGAAUGAAGAAUUUUCCCAAUAACACACCGGAGUGAAUGUUGUGGGAGCCGGGAUGUAGGGAGGGGGGAAAAGGAGACGCACCAGACAUGAUUCACAAUAUCACAAUACGGUGAUGUAGUUAAAAUAAAUCCUCACCAUCUUCUUGUUUCCCUUUCUCUUUCUCUCAAACACACACACACACACACACACACACACACACACACACAGCAAUUAAAUAUUCAGUUUAUUUAAACUCUUUUUGUUUGUGACAUGAAAAAAUACAUUAAUUAUAUUAGUUACAGAGGGUGAAAAGAUGAGUUCUAACUAAAAGUACAAAGUGUGAAAAUGCAAGCGAUUCUCACCCAACAUUCACCUCCACACAUGCACACACACACACACACACACACACACACACACACACACACACACGCUAUUCACUUUGCGUCAGUUUCUCCAAAUCACCUUAGCAUAUGGGGUGACCAUUAUGGAGUGAGCUUUUAAGCACAUAGGCCUACUACAAUCAAUAAAGUAUAAGUUACCAUUCGUACGGUUUUCUUUACAGCUUUUUCCACUGUUCGUUAGUUACUCACACCAAAGAGCGCAUUUACAGGAACACUGAGACCUAUCAUGGACUUCGGUAAGAAAACAGAAAACAGAGUAUAACAACCUGUGCAACUGUAAGUCUUGUUCUUGUUGAUGUUGUUAACGCACAUCUCAUACACAUUUACGCAUCUAAUACACAAUAUAUUCCGUAGUUUUUGUUUGUUUUACAGUCACGGUCGAUGAAGACCUGAAGAGCUGAGCAAAAUCAUUCGUCAAGCAGAGGCUGAAGAAACUAAGCACUCUGCUCCGGCACCGAUUCCCUCAACAGCUGACGUGGUUAAAAGAGCUGACCCGGUUCAAUCAUCGUCUCAGACCACUCCGGAGCAUGCUAAGGACGCUACACGUCCUCCUGUACAAACGCUACAUUCUUCUGCACCCGGGAGGAAGAGGUGGCGGACGCCCAGCAGCAGCAGCAGCAGCAGCAGCGACAGCGACGGUCGACCGAGUGUUUCUCGCAACGGUCAUAAAACCGCAAAAAGACCCAGAAAAUGUACGCAUAGUUUCAAAUGUGCGACCUGUCAGAGAGAGAGACAAGAAAUACAUCUUCUCGUCGGUACUACGCUAAGGACCAUGAGCGAUAUCCUCUUUGUGAUGGGCCUUGGUGUUUGAGCCAAAAAGACCCAGAAAAUGUACGCGCAAGCUGUCAGAGGGAGAAAGAAGAAAAUACAUCUUCUCGUCGGUACUAUGCUAAGGGCCAUGAGCGAGAUCCUCUUUGUGCUAGGCCUUGGUGUUUGAGUGUAAGUUUGGGUUGUUGUUGUUGUUGUUUGGUUUUUUAAAAUUUUGUUCUUUAUUUUCUGUAACCAUGGAUGAAAGCAACCACUGUUCCUCAAUACUUGAUGUGAUGAUACAAGAAUUAAACCAGAAUGUGUUAAAUGAAACUCGAGAACCCGCUCAGUCUUUAUGCGAGGCACAACAAGAUGUAGAAAUCACCGACCCACUCACAGACAUCAAUAUGGCUAUCGCAGAUCUUGAUCAUUCUCAAAGCAUUUUAAACACCAUAAAUCAAUGUCAAGAUUUGCUAAAUCAAAUACCCUCGUCCUCUUCAAACAGCGUACCCACGUGGUGUGACUCUUUAAUCGGAGAACAAAGCCCCGUCAUUUCUUUUAUCCCUGACCUGUUCUCAGAUAUUGAUGUUGCUAUCGCCGAACUUAAUCAUAGCAAGCUGUUUUAAAUACGAUAAGCCGAUGUCAAGAUUUGUUAAAUCAAAUACCCGCCAAUCCCUCGACCUCAAACGACACGCAUUUGCAAACCGAGACCUGACUUAAUAAUAAUCAAAGUGCCCAAAAUCAAACGAGCGUCUUUAACACCAUAGACCACGCCGUAAAUCGUUUAGAAAAUGUCCAACUCGCAACAUCCGACCGUCAAAAUCAACAGCGAGGGGGUAAUGUAGAGGACGUUCGUUCGUCAGGGUGUUUACAGAGAUGGCGCAAGUGUUGACGAAAGUCAUUUCACAAGUCGAACGACAAGAUGCGGUGCAGCUCGAGAUGAGAGGCGAUACUCUGCCUCAAGGCGCGUCCUCCGUCAUGAGCGGAGAGGAGUUUGAUUUAACUCACUUACAGUCUUUCCUAGACUGAAUUGUGCAAUCUAACACGGCCGUUAAAACCGACGGUAAUAUUCACCGUCCAACUCGUCAAAAACCCCCGAGGCGGCGGUCGAAGACUCUUGUCUAAUACUUUAGAUGGCGAGAUUAUUAAAAAAAAGCGACGGUCUCUGCAGGUCGUAAUCAACGCCCACGACAACCAACUUUGUUUUGCGAUUAAUUUGGCUCACCUGCUUUACCCCGAUAUCGUCGAUAGCGAAGCAUUUGCGCUCAGCAGAGACUUUCAAAGUAAGGCGGGUUUGAACGAUCAGACCGCGGUAACGUUCGGCGAUAUAGCGAAAUUUGAAAAAGUUUCAAACUGCAAAAUUGUAGUGUUCUACAGAACCGACGACGCUCGAACGCUCUCUAAAUUUGUGACCGAUUCACCAAGAAGACAAAAGACGGUGUUUAUGUUUCUGUUUGAAAAACACUACUACGGCAUAACGAGCCUGAAAUCCUUCCUAGGCUCGCCGUACGUGUGCGAGUAUUGCUACGCGGGGUACACCUCCGUCGCAUCUCACUAUUGCAAGGGUCAUUGCUCCGUUUGUUCGGACCCCUCCUAUAGCGAGCGAGAGCUCCGACCCAUAGUUUGCGUCGACUGUAACAGAACGCGUCAUGUUUAGCCAAACACAAAGAGCCCGUAAAGAGGCCCGUGGCUGAAAAAUACGUCAGUAAUUGCGAGCUGAUUAAAAGAUGCAAAAAAUGUGACAUGCUAUACUACAUCGCUAUGAACGGUAACAGUAAACAACACGCGUGUCCAAAAGUCAAAUGUAAAAUCUGCGGUGUAACCGAGAUGAGAGCGAGGAGCACCUGUGUUACAUACAGCGUUUACCCGUCGAGACAAAACAUACAGAGAAAUUGAUUUUCUACGAUUUCGAGACGUACGUAGACUCGUCGGGAGUGCACGUCCCUUUUCUGGUGUGUACAAAAACCCUCGACGGCAAAAGGUGGAAUGCUCAGGGCGUAGAUUGUGCCAAACAGUUUAUUUUGCAUUUCAGACGACCCGUGUACAGAAAAUCUGUCUUUAUCGCUCACAACGCUAGAGGAUUUGACGGAUACAUUGUGUUCAACGCCAUGCUGUCUCUGAACCUGAAGCCUGAGGCGCUCAUAAUGCAGGGAAGCAAAGUUGUACGUUUCACCGACCCCGAUUACGAACACAGGUACAUCGACAGUCUCAGUUUCUUGAUGUGCCGUCUGUCGGCUCUGCCCAAAGCCCUAGGUUUUCCCGAUAAAAACAAGGUUUUUUUUUCCCCAUCGAUUUAGCUCCGAGAAUCAUUUAAAGUACGUAGGCCCCUACCCCGAGCCAAAGGCCUACGGCAUCAAACAAAUGAGUAGAGAGGGCAAGAGAGAAUUUGAAGCGUGGUACGAGACGGUGCGUCACGGCACGUUCAAUUUUGAGAAAGAAGCCGUCCGCUACUGUCAAAACGACGUGGAUAUUCUCGCGUGAGCCUGCGACAUUUUCAGAAAAGGUUACGUCGACGAAACGGGCGUGGACCCUUUCAGUUGCGCCACCAUCGCUUUGGCCUGCAUGAAAGUGUUUCGCACAAAUUUCCUACGUCCCGACACCCUGGCCAUUCCUUCUCCUGAUGGCUAUCGAAGACGUCACAAAACCUACUCAUACGGUGGCGUUCAGUGGUUAGAGUGGGUGGCGCAAACCGAGGGCAUCUUUAUUCAGCACGCGUUGAACGCAGGUGAAAAACAGAUCGGUCGCUACUUUGUAGACGGUUACGCCGAGGUCCGAGGCGUGAAAAUGGCUUGGGAGUGUCUGGGUUGUUUUUAUCACGGUUGUCCGUCCUGCUUUCAGCCCCACGACACCUGCCCUCUGAUGGCCAGACCGUUUGACGAGUUGCACGCCUCCACCGUGGCGCGAAUACAGACGUUAGAGUCCGUCCACGGUCUCAAGGUGAACGUGAUGAGAGAGCACGAUUGGCUUGAGUUGAAAAAAUCCAAUCCACCUCUGAGAGAUUUUCUCAAGCGUGCCAAAACCCCCCGACCUUUGUCACCCCGCGACACUUUGUACGGCGGUAGGACGAGCGCCGUGAGGCUGAGGUACACGGCGGCAGCGAACGAAACUGUACACUACGUGGACGUGACAUCCUUGUAUCCCUACGUUAACUGCACCUUUCCCUAUCCUCUAGGAUACAGGCUCGGGCUACCCCGCCGAGGCCUCGGAUCCGGAGAGUAGACGAAAGUACAUUGCGUACUACGGGGCAAAUCAGGGCAUUUUGCUGGACGCGGACAAAAUUCAAUCAAACCCGGCUAAAAGACAGGUGGCUAAGCUCUGUCUAAAUAGCUCAUGGGGAAGGUUUGCCCAGAGAAGUAACCUGAACCAGACCGUGCUCGUCAGGGAACUGGAGGAGUUUUUCAGUUACAUGUUUCCAGAAAAACACAAAGUCAAAUACUUUUCCUUCCUAAACGAGACCACGGCUCUGAUUCAGUGGUGUCACAGCGAUCGGUAUAUCGCACCCCCCAACAAGACUGACAACGUGUUUAUUGCAGCAUUCACCACAGCCUACGGCUGUCUAAAGUUAUACGACUAUUUGCAUCAAUUGCAAAAUCGGGUACUUUACCUCGACACCGACUCUCUAAUUUAUGUCGCAAAAGAGGGGGAGAAGGGGCUCAAACUGGGUAAUUAUUUGGGAGACUUGACUGACGAGUUGGGGGGCGACACCAUACAGGAAUUUGCGGCGGCGGGUCCUAAAAGUUACGCCUACUUGACCAGAAAAAACAAACGAGCCGUGCUGCGGGUGAAGGGCAUUACUCAGACGCACGAAUGUUGUGGAAAAAAUCAAUUUCGACAGCGUCAAAGAGCUGGUAGAGGGUUACCUGCAAAACCACCAUAUGGGGGAGGAGGAGGAGGAGGAGGGGUUUAUCGAGACUCUUCAACACGGUAUAAAGAGGGAUAAAAACGGGUUUCUGCUUAAAAACACGUCAUUUUUAAAAAGGUUUCGUGUGGUAUUUGACAAGAGACGACUGCUUUCCACAGGUGAAACGUUGCCGUUUGGCUAUUGAAAUGUUUUCCGCAGACCACCGGCCAAUUGGCUUUGAUCCUAGACUGCGAGUACCUUUCUCAUGUCAGAUUGUGGGACCCAGCAGUUGUGGAAAAACUUUUUUUGUAAAAAGUGUAUUGGAAAACUGUCAAGAUGUUUUGUCUCAGGUGCCUGAAAAUAUUGUAUGGAUAUAUACUUUGUUCCAGCCUAUGUACG